rnacentral:rRNA from 1 species
AGAGUUUGAUCAUGGCUCAGGAUGAACGCUAGCUACAGGCUUAACACAUGCAAGUCGAGGGGUAGCAGGGUAGCAAUACCGCUGACGACCGGCGCACGGGUGAGUAACACGUAUCCAACCUUCCCAUAACUCAGGGAUAGCCUUUCGAAAGAAAGAUUAAUACCUGAUAGUACUUUUUCAAGGCAUCUUGAGAAAGUUAAAGAUUUAUUGGUUAUGGAUGGGGAUGCGUUCCAUUAGAUAGUUGGUGAGGUAACGGCUCACCGAGUCUUCGAUGGAUAGGGGUUCUGAGAGGAAGGUCCCCCCACAUUGGUACUGAGACACGGACCAAACUCCUACGGGAGGCAGCAGUGAGGAAUAUUGGUCAAUGGGCGAGAGCCUGAACCAGCCAGGUAGCGUGAAGGAUGAAGGUUCCCUAUGGAUUGUAAACUUCUUUUAUAGCAGAAUAAAGUGAUCCACGUGUGGAUUUUGUAUGUAUACUAUGAAUAAGGAUCGGCUAACUCCGUGCCAGCAGCAGC